rnacentral:lncRNA from 1 species
UGAAGAUUUUUGUGGCAUUGGCAAUAGUUUGCCUGCUUCUUACCGAGAUACAACAGAGUAAUGCGGCGGACAGGCAACCUCCUGGUGGAAAUGGGCGCCUUUCUCCACCACACAGCCCACGACAGCGAAGAGAAAACCCAAGAAACGGGGACAGAGGCGGUGCUCAAGGAGGAGGACCAGGAGGAGUUAGACUAAGAGAAGGUGGUCCACGAGGGAGAAGAGACGAUGGACGAAGACAUGGGAUUGUUGUUACAAAUAAUGAUAAAAAUCAGGGAUAGCUGUCUUCAAUAUUAUUCUGACAUCUGCUGUAUAGCGACUGCUUUUUGAAUUAUUAUUCCACACAAAAUAUAA